UCAACAUUUUUACGAAAUAAAAAAAGAAAAAAAAUCUCUAUCCUCUUAAUUUCUUCCAGAUCUCUCAUCAUCUCUCUCCCUAUCUCUUCUUCACGUUCUCAUUCAAACCCUAGCAUCUUCAUCUCCUCUACGUCUCUUCAUCUCCUCAUUUAAUUUCUCUUCUUUCGUCAAGAAUCUUUCGACUGAGGUCUCUUUUUCUUUUUCUCAUACAAAGAAGCAACAGUAAAAGGAAAUCGAAUCCCGGCGGAGAAAAGACAGAUUUAUUCACGGAAAUGUUAUGUCAAGAACAAGGAUAUAUGGAAGUUCCUUGAUGGUAUCUAUGUCAGCGAGAAGGGAACCAUAGUUGGAGCAGAUGAGUGAUCAAUACAAUUAUGGCAUCGACAAAUUCAAAAGCCACUAAGCAUUGAUGGACAACCAUUGAGGAUGAGGCGUUAGUUGAGUGCUUACUAUAAUUAGUGGAGGAAGGUGGCUGGAGGGUUGAUAAUGGAACAUUCAAUUUGGGAUAUUUGGUACAAGUACAAAAACUAAUGAAAGAAAAAAUUCCUGGAAGCAACAUACAAGUGACUCUAAAUCUAGAGUCGAGAGUAAACAUUUUAAAGAAGCAGUACACUGUUAUAGCAGAGAUGAUGGGGCCAGCGUGUAAUGGAUUUGGCUGUAAUGAGAAACGAAAGUGUAUUGAGGCAGAGAAAUUCGUGUUCGAUGACUGGGUAAAGGGACACCCCAAUGUUUGAGGCCUACUAAACAAACCAUUUUCUUACUUCUAUGACUUGGAAAUUGUGUUUGGUAGAGAUAGGGCUACUGGUGGUAGAUGUAAGACACCCGUUAAAUGGGCUCACAGACUGCAAGAGAUACUGAGGAGGAUGACAUGGACAUUAAUCUUGAAGACUUUGAUAUUCCAAAUCCACAUGGACUCGAGCCACCUUCGGGGGAGGACAUGCCAUCCACUCCAACAAGUAUGACGCAUGAUGCAGGAUCAUCUAGGCCAAGUAAGAAAAGACAGUCAUGUUCAGGGGACCUCAUGGACACAUUUCGCGCAAGUAUGCAAGAAACUUCCAAGGAAAUUAGAAAGAUUGUUGCAUGGCAGAGAGAAAAAAUGGAAAUAGAAUCAUCCCUACACAUAUGAUUAUAUGCUGAAUUACAAAGUAUUCCUAGAUGAUUGUUUAAUUGUAGCCAAGUCUCUGUUACCUGAUCCCACGAUGUUGCACGCAUUCCUUGACUACCCAGCAGCAUGGAAGUACAGAAAAUGCAUGCGUAUCUUAGGAAGGCAACCAUAACCAUAACUAAAGUAACUUUACUUGACUUUCACUUUUGUUUGACCCUUUGGUUAUGCUUACUUUUGAAACAAACUAGACCCCUCGCUUAACU